UACGUAGGGUCCGAGCGUUGUCCGGAAUUACUGGGCGUAAAGAGCUCGUAGGUGGUUUGUCGCGUUGUUCGUGAAAACUCACAGCUCAACUGUGGGCGUGCGGGCGAUACGGGCAGACUGGAGUACUGCAGGGGAGAACGGAAUUCCUGGUGUAGCGGUGAAAUGCGCAGAUAUCAGGAGGAACACCGGUGGCGAAAGCGGGUCUCUGGGCAGUAACUGACGCUGAGGAGCGAAAGCGUGGGGAGCGAACAGG
rnacentral:rRNA from 1 species